UCGAACGAUGAAGCCCUUCGGGGUGGAUUAGUGGCGAACGGGUGAGUAACACGUGGGCAAUCUGCCCUUCACUCUGGGACAAGCCCUGGAAACGGGGUCUAAUACCGGAUAACACUCCUGCCUGCAUGGGCGGGGGUUAAAAGCUCCGGCGGUGAAGGAUGAGCCCGCGGCCUAUCAGCUUGUUGGUGGGGUAAUGGCCCACCAAGGCGACGACGGGUAGCCGGCCUGAGAGGGCGACCGGCCACACUGGGACUGAGACACGGCCCAGACUCCUACGGGAGGCAGCAGUGGGGAAUAUUGCACAAUGGGCGAAAGCCUGAUGCAGCGACGCCGCGUGAGGGAUGACGGCCUUCGGGUUGUAAACCUCUUUCAGCAGGGAAGAAGCGAAAGUGACGGUACCUGCAGAAGAAGCGCCGGCUAACUACGUGCCAGCAGCCGCGGUAAUACGUAGGGCGCAAGCGUUGUCCGGAAUUAUUGGGCGUAAAGAGCUCGUAGGCGGCUUGUCACGUCGGAUGUGAAAGCCCGAGGCUUAACCUCGGGUCUGCAUUCGAUACGGGCUAGCUAGAGUGUGGUAGGGGAGAUCGGAAUUCCUGGUGUAGCGGUGAAAUGCGCAGAUAUCAGGAGGAACACCGGUGGCGAAGGCGGAUCUCUGGGCCAUUACUGACGCUGAGGAGCGAAAGCGUGGGGAGCGAACAGGAUUAGAUACCCUGGUAGUCCACGCCGUAAACGUUGGGAACUAGGUGUUGGCGACAUUCCACGUCGUCGGUGCCGCAGCUAACGCAUUAAGUUCCCCGCCUGGGGGAGUACGGCCGCAAGGCUAAAACUCAAAGGAAUUGACGG
rnacentral:rRNA from 1 species